rnacentral:rRNA from 1 species
GACGAACGCUGGCGGCGUGCUUAACACAUGCAAGUCGAACGGAGAGGCCCGGCCUUUCUUGUGUGCUUGAGUUGCGAACGGGUGAGUAACGCGUAAGUAACCUGCCCUUGAGCUUGGGAUAACUUCUGGAAACUAUGGCUAAUACCGGAUAAGAGCUGCUGCUGCAUGGUAUUUGCUGAAAAGUUUCGGUGGCUUGGGUAGCAGGCGCGGCUUAUCAGCAUCUUGGUGGGGUAGUGGCUUACCAUUGCUUUGACGGGUAGCCGGCCUGGGAGUGUGACCGGCCACAGUGGGACACGGAUACGGGCAAGACGGAUACGGGGGGAAGCGGUGGGGAAUAUAGCACGAUGGGCGGCAGCAGUAUGCAGCAACGUCGCGUGCGGGAGGACGGCUGUCGGGUUGGAAACCGCUUGCGACUGUGAAGAAGCGUGAGUGACGGUAAUGUGUAAAGAAGCAACGGCUAACUACGUG